CAGUCCCUACGGGGGGCAGCAGUGGGGAAUAUUGCACAAUGGGGGAAACCCUGAUGCAGCGACGCCGCGUGAGUGAAGAAGUAUUUCGGUAUGUAAAGCUCUGUCAGCAGGGAAGAAAAUGACGGUACCUGACCAAGAAGCCCCGGCUAACUACGUGCCAGCAGCCGCGGUAAUACGUAGGUGGCAAGCGUUAUCCGGAUUUAUUGGGUGUAAAGGGCGUGUAGGCGGGAGCGCAAGUCAGAUGUGAAAACUCAGGGCUCAACCCUGAGCCUGCAUUUGAAACUGUGGUUCUUGAGUGCUGGAGA
rnacentral:rRNA from 1 species